rnacentral:tRNA from 1 species
UAUAUUCCGGUAGUUGAAGUAC